GUGCUCGCUUCGGCAGCACAUGUACUAACAUUGGAACUAUACAGAGAAGAUUAGCAAGGCCCCUGCGCAAGGAUGAAACGCAAAUUCGUAAAGCGUUCCAUAUUUUU
rnacentral:snRNA from 1 species